CUGACCUCAAAUCAGGUAGGACUACCCGCUGAACUUAAGCAUAUCAAAGCCGGAGGA
rnacentral:rRNA from 1 species